AUCGAAGUAGACUAUCUUAUGGGCCACCCAUUUAGCAAAGCCACUCAACAAGCCCACAAACAAAAUGAGCUAGCAAGCGAACUGCAGGUUAGUUGACGCAGAAGCUACAACAGUGUGUCAAUUUUAGACACAUGAAACAAGCAACAACAAGACGCAAAAGUAAAAAUCCAUAGCAAAGAAAGGGUUAUAAUAGAUGGCAACCACUUGAUUCAAAAGAGGGGAAAGGGUCAUUUUCUAAACAUGCAACACAAUAUCUCUCAAAAUCUAUAAAUCCACAAGAUCUGACUUAACAUCAUAAACGGAGUAGUACAGAACAAGUUGCAAGACGCAGGAUAUCGAUAGCUUGGUAUUGUUCCAUCCUUGAACGAGCAUGGAAUUACAGCCUCCUUCCUCUUCUACCACCCUUCCGGCGGGUGCUGUCAGUGGGGACCGGGGUAACAUCCUCUGCUCAACGCAAAAAAAAACAUCAUGGAUUAAUCCGCUGUAUGAUAUCAUAAACUAAACUGGAAAAUGUAAAAGGUUGAAAUCACGAUAACUGGCAUCCAAGGCAAAACUAAAUCAACAUUGAUCAUAACAUAAACAUAGUAUGAACAGGAAGGACAAGCAAAACAUAAGUACAUAUAAAAACCAAGCCAGCAUGUGACCAGACAAAUUCAAGAACUAUUGACUACCAGACAAAAUUAAGACAAGCCUUGCAAAUGCAAUGAAUGGCAGAAUAGUUUUUUCCCAGAAGCUAAUGAGAUGAAAUGGCACAGACACAGCAUACACAAGGGCAUCACAAGCUUACCAAUGCGUCCAAUCUUCAUGCCAGAACGUGCAAGAGCUCUAAGCGCAGCUUGAGCACCAGGACCUGGAGUUUUUGUCUUGUUUCCACCAGUAGCACGGAGCUUAAUGUGCAGAGCAGUAAUUCCAAGCUCCUAAACAGGGGGGGAGGAUCACCAUAUGUAUCAGUGGAUUCAUCAAAUUUGGCUACCACCAUACUUGAUCAUGCAACAAAUCAACUUUUUUGGUACCUUACAUCUUACAGCAACAUCCUGAGAUGCAAGCAUAGCUGCAUAAGGGGAUGAUUCAUCACGAUCAGCUUUGACCUUCAUGCCACCUGAAAAUGCAAUUCUUUAGUACAUCACAAAUUUGUAAGACGUAAAAAAGAAACUGAUAGAUGUUGAGCAUCACAGAAGAACCGACAGUCAAUCACUGUUUAGUGCCAUGGCAGAUGCAAGUUAUAGCUAAACAGGUAUAAUAGCCAAGAAUAACCAUUCAAGCCUUGGUGAACUGAGUUCACUUCUUCAACCACCAAAUAGGAGACCACACAUAGAAUAUUCUACUACUAAUAUGUUAUAUUCAAAAAGACUUCUGAAAUGUUCUGAAGAUAUUGUACAGCCAAUAUCUAAAAUCUUCAAAUGUAACUCAGAAGUACUAACAAACAAAAGCAUGUUCUUCCAACAUUUAGGCGUCCCCAUUUUAAUUGACAAAGAGUUGCAAGGGUGUAGAAGUCAGCAGAAGCAAGACAGAGAACAUCUGCUUCAUACCGACCAUACAUCACAAGAAACUGAAUGGCAAGAUGAGUACACCUAUAAAUCAAAUUGGAAGUUGAGUUCCAGAGAAAAACUCUCUAGAGCCUCAUAUGAAUCUUGCACAGCAAUGACUCGACACGCUCCCACAGAACAAAAGGGAGGCAAUCUUAAGGGCGGUGCUUACAAAAGGUUGAUAGGAUCAAAAAUGAAACUCAAUAGGGAAGACAGCAUCAUGAUCAGAAGAGGAGGUUCAUAAGAAGUAAGCAAGACAAAUAUUGCUCAACAAUCUCGCUCAAGUUUAACCUAGGAUAACCUCACAUAUGAACCAACAAUUUUCACAUAAAUAGAAAACGCCCAGAUCCCAAACUGGAUAGUCAAAUAGUGAACGGAUAAGGAGAUUUGGCUCACAUACCCUAUUGAGUUUCUGCAUGAAUCAAUUCCAUUAAAUAAAAAGGUGGGCAUUACGUCAUACUGACAAACAAAAUACCAAUACUACCUACCAAACAAGAAUGUUGGUUCAGUGAAAUGUUUUUUCAAAGAACCAACCAUCGUGCUGAUUUUUUACAUACAACUACAGGAGUGCCAAUAUGCACUUGGUUCGGUGAAAUAUAGUCACAUCAAGCAUGUUCACUUCCAGAAUUUAGGCAGCUCCAUCUAAUGUUGCAAAGAGUUGCAGGAGUGAAGAACACAGCAUGAGCAGUGCAUAAAGCAGCUGCUGCCUGCUGGCUACAUACACUACAAGAAACCCAAUGAAAUGAUGUAAACAGCUAGAACUAAAACAGGAAGAGAAGAAGUUCCAGAGAAAAACUCGCCGGAUCCUCGUUUUCAAUCUUGCAUGGCUAUGACUCGACACGCUCCCACGGAUAAAAAGGGAGGGGAUCUUAAGGGCCGUGCUUACAAAGCAAUCUAAAAACCUCCAAGGUGAUACCAAAUCAUGAAACUUGACUAUAUGCUGUUCCAAACGAACAUAUCUCUAUCAGUACGAGACGAUGCUUAUUAGAAACAAACCACCAUCAUUUAUACAUCAGCCACCACGCCUUGCUCGUAAAGGGGAGUAUAAGAAGAGAUGUGAUUACCGGUGAUGCGGACGAGCGUCUCCCUCCCGGACAGAUCCGUGACAUGCUGCGACAGCGAAGCCAGAUGUGGCAAGAGUUUCAGGUCCGCGGUGUAAACAGAAAAGCAGCAAGAAAGGCGGCGUGUCCUUGGGAUCUUACGAUGAAGGUGUCGUUGAAGGAGGCGAAGAUGUGCGCGACGCCGAAGACGUGCUCCCCCUCGCGGACGGCGGGGCCGAGCGUCACGUUCUCCUCCUUGGGCUCGCGGGUCUUCUUCCUCCCUGACUGCACGAACAGACACAGCACCGGACGAUGCCCAGAUGGAUAAGCACAAGAACCAAGUCUACAGCGAGUUGACGGGGAAGGAACGAGCGACAAGGCGUUACCAUGGCGGCGGCGGCGGCGGCGAGAGGAGGAGGAGGCUAGGGUUUGGAGUGGACGAGAAGAUGAGCUGCGGUGGGGAAGUGCAGGAGUGGGCAAAGAUAAAGCCUCCCGAGAGUGGGCCGUGCCCGGGUUUGGAUGCGUGGGUCGCCUGGUUAUACGGGCUGCAUUUUGCGCUGAGCUCUCUAGACCAUACUGGGCUUGCAUGACUCAGUAUUGGGCUAAGGGUGCGUUUUUGUGUGUACCGCAACCCGGGUGUCCACUCAUCAUGUGACCAGACGUUUCUUUUUUUAGGGUUAAAGCACAGCUUUAUUACGGUAACGAGUUAGGCAAGUCGCCUAAAACAAACCAACAUAUAGCUUUAUUAAGGCGAUGAGGGUUUACCUACUCCGCCGGCCCAGGCCGACGUUUCCUUACCGGUGCCCUCCCCGGACGGUUUCUCAAGGCGCAGUCCCUAGGGUUUCCUAGCCCCGGUAUUUGCUGCGACAGAACUCAGGGGCAGAUUGCAUCGGUUCUUUGGCCCUGUUCAUCAUGGGAGAUGCCAUGGAGGCCCCAAGUGGUGGCAGAAACUCAUCUCGAUGGGGAAGGAGCAGAGGAUGUGGAGGUACGACAGGCCGGGGCCUUGUCCCGGGUCAUGAGCGUGGCGAUGGGGAAGGGAUUGGACAGAAGGGACGUGAUGUUGAUUCUGGAGGAGGAAUAGCUGGUGGUUCGGUGCCACCAUCCCCUCCUGGAUAUUUGUCACGGUGGGAGAGUAAGGAAACCAAGCACGGAGCCUCGUCGUCCAAGUCAAAGGCUGCUGAUAUGGAGAUCGAGAAGAAUUUGGCGGGCUCCGAGCUGGAGCGCCACCGGUCAUCAUGAAUAUCAUGUUGGGUAACGUAGCAGAAAUUCAAAAAUUUUUACGCAUCACCAAGAUCAAUCUAUGGAGUUUACUAGCAACGAGAGGGAAGGAGUGCAUCUACAUACCCUUGUAGAUCGCGAGCGGAAGCGUUCAAGAGAACGGGGUUGAUGGAGUCGUACUCGUCGUGAUCGAAAUCACCGAUGAUCCUAGCGCCGAACGGACGGCACCUCCGCGUUCAACACACGUACGGAGCAGCGACGUCUCCUCCUUCUUGAUCCAGCAAGGGGGAAGGAGAGGUUGAUGGAGAUCCAGCAGCACGACGGCGUGGUGGUGGAAGUAGCAGGAUUCCAACAGGGCUUCGCCAAGCGCUGCGGGAGGAGGGAGGUGUGUCACGGGAGGGAGAGGGAGGCGCCAGGGCUUGGAUUGCUGCUGCCCUCCCUCCCCCCCACUAUAUAUAGGGCCAAGGGAGAGGGGGGGGCGCAGCCUUGGCCCUUCCUCCAAGGAAGGGUGCGGCCAGGGAGGAGUCCUUCCUCCCCAAGGCACCUCGGAGGUGUCUUCCCCCUUUAGGACUCUCCGUUUAUCUUAUCUCUUGGCGCAUGGGCCUCUUGGGGCUAGUUCCCUUGGCCCAUAUAGGCCAAGGCGCACCCCCCACAGCCCAUGUGGCCCCCCCGGGGCUGGUGGACCCCUUGGUGGACCCCCCGGACCCCUUUCGGCACUCCCGGUACAAUACCGAUAAAGUGCGAAACUUUUCCGGCGACCAAAAUAAGACUUCCCAUAUAUAAAUCUUUACCUCCGGACCAUUCCAGAACUCCUCGUGACGUCCGGGAUCUCAUCCGGGACUCCGAACAACUUUCGGGUUACCGCAUACUAAUAUCUCUACAACCCUAGCGUCACCGAACCUUAAGUGUGUAGACCCUGCGGGUUCGGGAGACAGGCAGACAUGACCGAGACGACUCUCCGGUCAAUAACCAACAGCGGGAUCUGGAUACCCAUGUUGGCUCCCACAUGCUCCGCGAUGAUCUCAUCGGAUGAACCACGAUGUCGAGGAUUCAAUCAAUCCCGUAUACAAUUCCCUUUGUCUAUCGGUAUGUUACUUUCCCGAGAUUCGAUCGUCGGUAUCCUAUACCUUGUUCAAUCUCGUUACCGACAAGUCUCUUUACUCGUUCCAUAACUCACAUCAUCCCGUGAUCAACUCCUUGAUCAAACAGUGCACAUUAUGAUGAUGUCCUACCGAGUGGGCCCAGAGAUACCUCUCCGUUUACACGGAGUGACAAAUCCCAGUCUCGAUUCGUGCCAACCCAACAGACACUUUCGGAGAUACCUGUAGUGCACCUUUAUAGCCACCCAGUUACGUUGUGACGUUUGGUACACCCAAAGUAUUCCUACGGUAUCCGGGAGUUGCACAAUCUCAUGGUCUAAGGAAACGAUACUUGACAUUAGAAAACCUCUGAGCAAACGAACUACACGAUCUUGUGCUAGGCUUAGGAUUGGGUCUUGUCCAUCACAUCAUUCUCCUAAUGAUGUGAUCCCGUUAUCAACGACAUCCAAUGUCCAUGGUCAGGAAACCGUAACCAUCUAUUGAUCAACGAGCUAGUCAACUAGAGGCUUACUAGGGACAUGGUGUUGUCUAUGUAUCCACACAUGUAUCUGAGUUUCCUAUCAAUACAAUUCUAGCAUGGAUAAUAAACGAUUAUCAUGAACAAGGAAAUAUAAUAAUAACCUAUUUAUUAUUGCCUCUGGGGCAUAUUUCCAACAGUCUCCCACUUGCACUAGAGUCAAUAAUCUAGUUCACAUCGCCAUGUGAUUAACACUCAUAGGUCACAUCACCAUGUGACCAACAUCAAAGAGUUCACUAGAGUCAACAAUCUAGUUCACAUCACUAUGUGAUUAACACUCAAUGUGUUCUGGUUUGAUCAUGUUAUGCUUGUGAGAGAGGUUAUUAGUCAACGGGUCUGAACCUUUCAGAUCCGUGUGUGCUUUACGAAUAUCUAUGUCAUCUUGUGGAUGCUACCACGCGCUACUUGGAGCCAUUUCAAAUAACUGCUCUACUAUACGAAUCCGGUUUACUACUCAGAGUCAUCCGGAUUAGUGUCAAAGUUCGCAUCGACGUAACCCUUUACGACGAACUCCUUUUCACCUCCAUAAUCGAGAAAAUUCCUUAGUCCACUAGAUACUAAGGAUAAGUUCGACCGUUGUCAUGUGAUCCAUUCCCGGAUCACUAUUGUACCCCUUGACCAACUCAUGGCAAGGCACACUUCAUGUGCGGUACACAGCAUAGCAUACUGUAGAGCCUACGUCUAAAGCAUAGGGGACGACCUUCGUCCUUUCUCUCUCUUCUGUUGUGGUUAGGUCUUGACUCUUACUCAACACUCACACCUUGUAACACAGCCAAGAACUCCUUCUUUGCUGAUCUAUUUUGAACUCUUUCAAAAUCAUGUCAAGGUGUGCGUUCUUUGAAAGUAUCAUCAGGCGUCUUGAUCUAUCUCUAUAGAUCUUGAUGCCCAAUAUGUAAGCAGCUUUAUUCAGGUCUUCCUUUGAAAAACUCCUUUCAAACAACCCUUUAUGCUUUCCAGAAAUUUUACAUCAUUUCGGAUCAACAAUAUGUCAUUCACAUAUACUUAUCAGAAAUGUUGUAGCGCUCCCACUCACUUUAUUGUAAAUACAAGUUCCUAACAAACUUUGUAUAAACCCAAAAACUUUGAUCGCUCCAUCAAAGCUUAUAUUCUGACUCCGAGAUGCUUGCUCUAGUCCAUGGAAGGAUCGCUGGAGCUAGCAUACCUUUUAGCAUCCUUAGGAUCGACAAAAACUUUCUGAUUGUAUCACAUACAACCUUUCCUUACGAAAACUGGUAAGGAAACUUGUUUUUACAUCCAUCUGCCAGAUUUCAUAAAUGCAGCUAAUGCUAACAUGAUUCCGACGGACUUAAGCAUCGCUACGGAUGAGAAAAUCUCAUCGUAGUCAACUCCUUGAACUUGUGGAAAUACUCUUUGCCACAAGUCAAGCUUCAUAGAUGGUAACAUUACCGUCCACGUCCGUCUUCUUCUCAAAGAUCCAUUUAUCUCGGAUUUCAUGGCUUCUAACCAUUUGUCGGAAUAUGGGCCCACCAUCGCUUCUCCAUAGCUCGUAGGUUCAUUGUUGUCUAGCAACAUGACUUCCAAGACAGGAUUACGUACCACUCUGAAGUAGUACGCAUCCUUAUCGACCUACGAGGUUUGGUAGUGACUUGAUCCGAAGUUUCAUGAUCACUAUCAUAAGCUUCCACUUCAAUUGGUGUAGGUGCCACAGGAACAACUUCCUGUGCCCUGCUACACCCUAGUUGAAGUGACGGUUCAAUAACCUUAUCAAGUCUCCACCAUCCUCCCACUCAAUUCUUUUGAGAGAAACUUCGAGAAAGGACUCGUUUCUAGAAGCAAUUACUUUUGCUUCCAGAUCUGAAAUAGGAGGUAUACCCAACUGUUUUGGGUUUUCUAUGAAGAUGCAUUUAUCCGCUUUGGGUUCGAGCUUAUCAGCCUGAAACUUUUUCACAUAAGCAUCGCAACCCCAAACUUUUAAGAAACGACAACUUAGGUUUCUCUAAACAGUGUCGUCUCAACGGAAUUGCGUGGUGCCCCUUUUAAAGUGAAUGCGGUUGUCUCUAAUGCUAAACCCAUAAACGAUAGUGGUAAUUCGAUAAGAAACAUCAUGGUAUGCACCAUAUCCAAUAGGGUGCUGCUAUGAUGUCCGGACACACCAUCGUACUAUGGUGUUCCAGGCGGUAUUAAUUAUGAAACACUUUCCACAAUGUCUCAAUUGUGUGCCAAACUCGUAACUUAGAUACUCAUCUCUAUGAUCAUAUCACAGACAUUUUAUCCUUUUGUCACGACGAUCUUCAACAUCACUCUGAAAUUACUUGAACCUUUCAAUAAUUCAGACUUGUGUUUCAUCAAGUAAAUACACUCAGCAUCUACUCAAAUCAUCUGUGAAGUAAGAACAUAACGAUAUCUACUGCAUGCCUCAGCACUCAUUAGACUGCAUACAUCAAAAUGUAUUACUUCCAAUAAGUUUCUCUCUUGUUCCAUCUUACUGAAAACGAGGACUUUCAGUCAUCUUGCCCAUGUGGUAUGAUUUUCAUGUCUCAAGUGAUUCAAAAUCAAGUGAGUCCAAACGAUCCAUCUGCAUGGAGUUUCUUCAUGCAUAUAUACCAAUAGACAUGGUUCGCAUGUCUCAAUCUUUUAAAAAACGAGUGAGUCCAAAGAUCCAUCUACAUGGAGCUUCUUCAUGCGUUCUAUACCAAUAUGACUCAAAUGGCAGUGCCACAAGUAUGUGGAACUAUCAUUACUAUCUUAUAUCUUUUGGCACGAACAUGUGUAUCACUACGAUCGAGAUUCAUUUUAGGUGCAAGACCAUUGAAGGUAUUAUUCAAAUAAACAGAGUAACCAUUAUUCUCCUUAAAUGAAUAACCGUAUUGCGAUAAACAUAAUCCAAUCAUGCUUAACGCAAACACCAAAUCUCGAUGGUAGAGGGAGCAUGCGAUGCUUGAUCACAUCAACCUUGGAAACACUUCCAACACAUAUCGUCAUCUCACCUUUAGCUAGUCUCCGUUUAUUCCGCAGCUUUUAUUUCGAGUUACUAACACUUAGCAACCGAACCGGUAUCUAAUACCCUGGUGCUGCCAGGAGUACUAGUAAAGUACACAUUCAUAUAAUGUAUAUCCAAUACACUUCUGUCGACCUUGCCUGCCUUCUCAUCUACCAAGUAUCUAGGGUAGUACAGCUUCAGUGACCGUUCCCCUCAUUACAGAAGCACUUAGUCUCGGGUUUGGGUUCAACCUUGGGAUUCUUCACUAGAGCAGCAAAUGAUUUGCUGUUUCAUGAAGUAUCCCUUUUGCCCUUGCCCUUCUAGGAACUAGUGGUUUCACUAACCAUCAACAAUUGAUGCUCCUUCUUGAUUUCUACUUUCGCGGUGCCAAACAUCACGAGUUGCUCAAGGAUCAUCAUCUAUCCUUGAUAUGUUAUAGUUCAUCACGAAGCUCUAAUAGCUUGGUGGCAGUGACUAUGGAGAACCAUCACUAUCUCAUCUGGAAGAUUAACUCCCACUCGAUUCAAGUGAUUGUAGUACUCAGACAAUCUGAGCACAUGCUCAACGAUUGAGCUUUUCUCCCUUAGUUUGCAGGCUUAAGAAACUUGUCAGAGGUCUCAUACCUCUUGACGUGGGCACUAGUCUGAAAUCCCAAUUUCAGUCUUCGGAACAUCUCAUAUGUUUUGCGACGUUUCAAAAACAUCUUUGGUGCCACAAUUCUAAACCGUUAGCAUUACGCACUGAACUAUCACGUAGUCAUCAAAACGUGUAUGCCAGAUGUUUCGCAACAUCUACAGACGACGCUGAGGUUCAGCACACCGAGCGGUGCAUUAAGGACAUAAGCCUUCUGUGCAGCAAUGAGGACAAUCCUCAGUUUACGGACCCAGUCCGCAUAAUUGCUACUACCAACUUUCAACUAAAUUUUCUCUAGGAACAUAUCUUAAACAGUAGAACUAAAGCGUAUGACAUAAUUUGUAAAGACCUUUUGACUAUGUUCAUGAUAAUUGAGUUCAUCUGAUUAAUGAACUCCCACUCAGAUAGACAUCCCUCUAGUCAUCUAAGUGAUACAUGAUCCGAGUCAAACUAGGCCGUGUCCGAUCAUCACGUGAGACGGACUAGUCAUCAUCGGUGAACAUCUCCAUGUUGAUCGUAUCUACUAUACGACUCAUGUUCGACCUUUCGGUCUCUUGUGUUCCGAGGCCAUGUCUAUACAUGCUAGGCUCGUCAAGUCAACCUAAGUGUUUCGCAUGUGUUCCGAGGGCAUGUCUGUACAUGCUAGGCUCGUCAACACCCGUUGUAUUCGAACGUUAGAAUCUAUCACACCCGAUCAUCACGUGGUGCUUCGAAACAACGAACCUUCGCAACGGUGCACAGUUAGGGGGAACACGUCUCUUGAAAUUUUAGUGAGGGAUCAUCUUAUUUAAGCUACCGUCGUUCUAAGCAAAUAAGAUGCAUAACAUGAUAAACAUCACAUGCAAUCAAAUAGUGACAUGAUAUGGCCAAUAUCAUUUUGCUCCUUUGAUCUCCAUCUUCGGGGCACCAUGAUCAUCUUUGUCACCGGCAUGACACCAUGAUCUCCAUCAUUGUGUCUUCAUGAAGUUGUCACCCCAACGAUUACUUCUACUUCUAUGGCUAACGCGCUUAGCAAUAAAGUAAAGUAAUUUACAUGGCGUUAUUCAAUGACACGCAGGUCAUACAAAAAAUAAAGACAACUCCUAUGGCUCCUGCCGGUUGUCAUACUCAUCGACAUGCAAGUCGUGAUUCCUAUUACAAGAAUAUGAUCAAUCUCAUACAUCACAUAUAUCAUUCAUCACAUAUAUCAUUCAUCACAUCUUCUGGCCAUAUCACAUCACAUAGCACAUGCUGCAAAAACAAGUUAGACGUCCUCUAAUUGUUGUUUGCAAGUUUUUACGUGGCUUGUAUAGGUUUCUAGCAAGAACGUUUCUUACCUACGUAAAACCACAACGUGAUAUGCCAAUUUCUAUUUACCCUUCAUAAGGACCCUUUUCAUCGAAUCCGUUCCGACUAAAGUGGGAGAGACAGACACCCGCUAGCCACCUUAUGCAACUAGUGCAUGUCAGUCGGUAGAACCUGUCUCACGUAAGCGUACGUGUAAGGUCGGUCCGGGCCGCUUCAUCCCACAAUGCCGCCGAAACAAGAUAAGACUAGUAGCGGCAAGAAGAAUUGGCAACAUCUACGCCCACAACUGCUUUGUGUUCUACUCGUGCAUAGAAACUACGCAUAGACCUAGCUCAUGAUGCCACUGUUGGGUAACGUAGCAGAAAUUCAAAAUUUUCUACGCAUCACCAAGAUCAAUCUAUGGAGUUUACUAGCAACGAGAGGGAAGGAGUGCAUCUACAUACCCUUGUAGAUCGCGAGCGGAAGCGUUCAAGAGAACGGGGUUGAUGGAGUCGUACUCGUCGUGAUCCAAAUCACCGAUGAUCCUAGCGCCGAACGGACGGCACCUCCGUGUUCAACACACGUACGGAGCAGCGACGUCUCCUCCUUCUUGAUCCAGCAAGGGGGGAAGAGAGGUUGGUGGAGAUCCAGCAGCACGACGGUGUGGUGGUGGAAGUAGCGGGAUUCCAACAGGGCUUCGCCAAGCGCUGCGGGAGGAGGGAGGUGUGUCACGGGAGGGAGAGGGAGGCGCCAGGGCUUGGAUUGCUGUUGCCCUCCCUUCCCCCCACUAUAUAUAGGGCCAAGGGAGAGGGGGGGCAGCCUUGGCCCUUCCUCCAAGGAAGGGUGCGGCCAGGGAGGAGUCCUUCCUCCCCAAGGCACCUCGGAGGUGCCUCCCCCCUUUAGGACUCUCCGUUUAUCUUAUCUCUUGGCGCAUGGGCCUCUUGGGGCUGGUUCCCUUGGCCCAUAUAGCCCAAGGCGCACCCCCCACAGCCCAUGUGGCCCCCCGGGGCUGGUGGACCCCUUGGUGGACCCCCGGACCCCUUUCGGCACUCCCGGUACAAUACCGAUAAAGUGCGAAACUUUUUCGGCGACCAAAAUAAGACUUCCCAUAUAUAAAUCUUUACCUCCGGACCAUUCCGGAACUCCUCGUGACGUCCGGGAUCUCAUCCGGGACUCCGAACAACUUUCGGGUUACCGCAUACUAAUAUCUCUACAACCCUAGCGUCACCGAACCUUAAGUGUGUAGACCCUGCGGGUUCGGGAGACAGGCAGACAUGACCGAGACGACUCUCCGGUCAAUAACCAACAGCGGGAUCUGGAUACCCAUGUUGGCUCCCACAUGCUCCGCGAUGAUCUCAUCGGAUGAACCACGAUGUCGAGGAUUCAAUCAAUCCCGUAUACAAUUCCCUUUGUCUAUCGGUAUGUUACUUUCCCGAGAUUCGAUCGUCGGUAUCCUAUACCUUAUUCAAUCUCGUUACCGGCAAGUCUCUUUACUCGUUCCAUAACUCACAUCAUCCCGUGAUCAACUCCUUGAUCAAACAGUGCACAUUAUGAUGAUGUCCUACCGAGUGGGCCCAGAGAUACCUCUCCGUUUACACGGAGUGACAAAUCCCAGUCUCGAUUCGUGCCAACCCAACAGACACUUUCGGAGAUACCUGUAGUGCACCUUUAUAGCCACCCAGUUACGUUGUGACGUUUGGUACACCCAAAGUAUUCCUACGGUAUCCGGGAGUUGCACAAUCUCAUGGUCUAAGGAAACGAUACUUGACAUUAGAAAACCUCUGAGCAAACGAACUACACGAUCUUGUGCUAGGCUUAGGAUUGGGUCUUGUCCAUCACAUCAUUCUCCUAAUGAUGUGAUCCCGUUAUCAACGACAUCCAAUGUCCAUGGUCAGGAAACCGUAACCAUCUAUUGAUCAACGAGCUAGUCAACUAGAGGCUUACUAGGGACAUGGUGUUGUCUAUGUAUCCACACAUGUAUCUGAGUUUCCUAUCAAUACAAUUCUAGCAUGGAUAAUAAACGAUUAUCAUGAACAAGGAAAUAUAAUAAUAACCUAUUUAUUAUUGCCUCUAGGGCAUAUUUCCAACAUAUCAUAAGUGGAACUAUUGCGGGAUUGGCAACGAUUCGACAGUUCGAGAGCUACGCACGCUAGUGCAACGAUUUGCCCCCUUCGUGCUCUGUGUGCAAGAAACUCGAGUUGGAGGGACUCAUGCUAGGAAUCUAGCCUUUUCUUUUAGCUUUAGUAGAAGCUAUACAGUGGGUAGUAAUGGUAGAAGUGGAGGUCUUGCUAUGUACAGGGAUGAUGAUUUGUCCCUUGAGUUCGUCACAGAACUCUCACGAGAUGAGCACAUUGGUCACACAAGUCUCAAAAUGUGGAGUUGCUUUAUGAGCGAAUGUGUCACUUCCCUGUUGCGAGCCGUUACGGGGCCGACGUGGCUUGCUGACUCAGCGUAUGGCCCACUGUCAGGAUAAUUGUGAAGGUUUUUUUUGCAAAUUGUGCAUCCCCUUCCUGGUCAAAAUCCACAAUUCAGCUCUCUCUCGAUCUCACCUUCGCCUCUCUCCAGAUCUGCCACAGCCGUCGCCGUUGUCGUCACCUCGCUCGACAUGGACCAGUAUGAGGGAGAGAGUUGGCGGCCGGAGAAUAGGGAGGGUAGUAUCUUCUUCCCGGCGGAGGGCUGGAGGCGCGGCGAGCCGGAGUUGCGGCCUGAGGUCGGUCGCUGUGUGCUGAGGCGCACGGCUGGGAUGUACCGGCUGGAGGAGAAGCUACGCGGUCGUGCCCUGGUGGGUACAGUGGAAGGGAACCGGCCUCCCGUGUCGCCGGCACAGGUGGUUGCUACUUUGGAGGCGCAAUGUGGCGUCCGCCGCGACGAUGUCAUGGUUGAGGUAUGUUCGCCUCCGGCGGAUUUUCUUGUACGGUUUCGGUCCGGCGACGACUGCACUCGCGUGCUCAUCUACCACUCCCGCAAGCUUACGGUCGGCGGCGAGACAAUCCAGUUUUGCCGGUGGCAUCGUGGGAUGGGUGGCGAGGAGUCGUCUAUGAAGUUUUUGACAAGGUUGAGCUUUGAUGGGCUCCCGCAAGAGGCUUGGGAGGUCGAGUUCGUUACCAACCUUGUUAACAGUCUCGGCGGCGAUCUCGUUAAGAUGUUGAAGCCCACUGAUCGGUGCUUCGUCGUUGUUGAAGCAUGGAUGAAGAACCCAAACAAAUUGCCUAAAUUAUAUGAAGUGGAGCUGCCAGAGCCUGAAUUACGACAAGAUUACCCAACCUCUGACUCUGACGUGCCAAUUUCACCGCCUACUAUAUAGUCGUCUGAAAGAUGAGAAGCUAACAGUUGUUCAUUUUCUGAAGAUCCAUGUUCUGAAAGUUAUAGAUCACAGCCCUAUCUUAACAGAGUUGCCGCCUGCUUAUGACUAUGACGAAGAAUCGAACAGUGCUCGGUGUCACACUUUCACAUGUCAUCCUGGUACAAUAGAUGGUGCAGAGAGGGCAUACAUUGGUGGUGGACAUGGUUUUGCAGGGCCAGGGUCCGAUGGCCGUGCAGGUGCUCUGUUCAGGAUGUAGAUGAGACAGAGAUGUUGCAUCUCUUUUAUUCAGCAAUGUAUAAUGUAUGUUUGUUGUGUGCCAAUGUGAGCAUAUGUCUGUAAGACUAUUGUAAGAGAUCUAUUUAUGAUGUGUGACUGAUGUGAGGAUGUUGCAUGAAAUUCAAUUGUUGUUGCACUACUAGUAUAUGCAAUUUAUUUGACAAGAGAUAUCUCAUUUAACAAAAGUACAGAACAGUACUAAAAGAAAGAGUUCGUUUUGGAACUACACAGAGCAGUACUAAAAUUCCUCAGUACUAAAAGAACAAAUUCAUCCAAAAGGAUUAGUUGUGCCAAAAGUAACUACACAUGACAGUACUAAAAGAACAAGUUCAUUUUGGAACUACAUCAAGUUCAUUUUGAAACUACUACAUUACUGAAUUACAGCAUGAUCUCAGUCUUGUGGUGCUGAUUGUGUAUUGUUGAUCUCCUCUUCAUAUGUUGGUCCUGUUCUACCUCUUCUUCCUCCCCUUCCUCCCCUUCUUCCUCUUGUAGGUGCACCUCCUCCUCUCUGUCCAAACAGAAGAUACUGAAAUCCUCCAACACCUGCUGCAUUGUUGCUUGUGCCAGCUGUGUUUGCAUUCCUGUUAAUUGCACUAGCUGCAGCUCUAGCUUCUCUUCUUCUUCCUGACCUGUCCCUUGCUUGAGCUCUCAAAACCUGUGUUGUGACUGUUGAUGUCCUUGGUGGUGGAACGUUAGCUCUAUAUUGUGCAACAAAAGCUGAUUCACUAGGGAAUGGCUUUAUUUCUUCAAUGACAAUUUUUGGCGCCUGCAUUUUAUGAAUGACAUAACUCUGUUUUAUUGGAAGAACAAAAGAGAACAAGUUACAAGUACUUUAUUAUAAGAAUUUGGUCUUCACCUCAUGUGCUAGCUGAGAUAUCAUAGAUUCUUUCACAUUGCUAGGAUCUUUCUAGGGUCUAGUUGUACAUGCUCAAUGUGCUGAUCAAAACAAUACAAAAUUAGUUAGUAGUGCCUAUACAAACUGGAAUUAUUUGUAAGUAUAGCUGCAUAUUACCUCUAGUAUCUCAGGAAUAUCAGCAUAUCCAUUUUCAUCAAUCAUUGUAGGGACUCUGUUUGGGUUUGGCAUGGAGGUUGGAAUGCCCACUUGCUCUUCCACAGUUCUUCUUCUCCUUCUCUUUGUUCUUUGUUGUUGUUGCUCCUGUGAGCUGUCCUCUGUUUGGGUUUGUGGUGCUUGUGCUGCUCCUGUUGCUGCUGCUUGUGUUGUUGCUGCUUCUGCCCUUGCAAUCUCUUUCAAUCUAGGGCAUCCUUUCUUGUUAUGGCCUGCAUUUCCACAAUAUCCACAAUGAAUAGUGACCCCAUGUUUGGUCAACUUUGUACCAUCCUCAUUUUCUUCAGGACCUUUUCUUCUUUUUUUGCUUGAGGGCCUGCCAACAACCUUCUCAUAAAAUGGAGGUUUUACUACUGGGCCAUUAACAUGCUCCCAUUCCGACUUAUCUCUAACUGGCUUCACCACAGGACCAUAAGCUUGCAUGAAAGCAUUCAAAGAAUAGCUACUACAUACCAUCUGUUCAGGCUUAAUCCUCUCAUGCCUACAACAAGCUAUUGCAUGGUUGCAUGGAAUGCCAGUUAGCUGCCAUCUUCUACAAGUGCAAGCUCUCAUGUUUAGCUCUACAAUGUAACUAACACCAUUGCUAAGAACUUUGAAAGUUGACUUUCCAUAUUCAGUAGCAAAGCAGUUUGCUGCAUAAUCUGCAUUUUUCUGAACUUUUUGUCUAAUCUUUGGGCAAAUCUGACCAGUCCACUUCUGUAGAGCAUCCUUUUGCAUUUUGUUAUAUCUUGUCCCUAUCUUGCAAGCAAUGUUCUCCAACAUAGACAGGACAGGUAGCUCUCUAGCUUCUAAUAUCCACCUAAUUAGUAGGCAGGUCCAUAAACAGAAGUAAGCAGUAGACAUUUAAUAAGCAAUAGUAAAGAGAAGAAGGUAAGAUAAUUACUUAUUGAAAACUUCACAAGAAUUGUUUGUAAGUAUGUCACAUUUGACAAAAUCACUGAAGAAAGCUCUGCAAUACUCAGAUGGCUUCUUUUCAUCUAACCAAGCAUGUGCUUCAGGACAAUCUGCCUUGAACCUGUCCAUGUUUUGCUGCCAUCUUGUAGUGUUGCUUGACCUUGCACAUGCCCACAAGUGAUUCUUUACUGUUUCUCCCUUGUGAAGCUGGUUCAGGUUCUGGUAGAGAUGUCUGACACAAAAUCUAUCUUCAGAGUCAGGGAACAAUUCUCUGACUGCUCUAAUCAAAACCUACAUCACAACAAACAACAGCUAUGUUAUGCUAAGACAGAAGAUACAGUAUUGUAAUCACAUACAUAUAAGGAAUUUUUUAAUUUUCACCACACCUUCUGCUUAUCACUCAUUAUAGAGAUAGUUGAUGUGUUAAUGAUGUUUAGGUCAUUUUUCAAAUUAGUAAGAAACCACUUCCAGCUGGCAUGGCACUCCACCUCUACGACAGCCAUUGCAAUUGGGUAGAUGCAGUCAUUGGGAUCUACUCCAAUUGCUGUCAAUAUCUGUCCACCAUAUUUGGUCCUUAUGUGUGUUCCAUCAAGACAAAUAAUGGGCCUACAACCAAGUAGCCAUCCUCUUUUACAAGCAUCCAGACAUAAGUACAAAGUGCUCAAUGUUUCACCCAUCCUUUUCAAGAAGAAAGUAGUGCCUGGGUUUGCUCUCCUUAGCUCAUGUCCAUAGUCCCAAAGUUGUCCAUAUUGGGCCUCUUCAUCUCCUCUUAUCUUUUUCAGACAUGACAACCUAGGUCUUGCCAACUUAAAUCUGUUUGGCUUCAUGUUGUACUGUUUCUGAACUUUGUUCUGAAAAGCUGUCAAACUCAUCUUUGGGUCAUCUCUGAAAUCUUCAACAAAUUUUCCAGCUAGCAAUGGAGCUGUCAACUCUUUCACUUCCCACACCCUCUCACAAGUAUGCUCUCCAACAUAUGUCUUUAUCAGCAUGCACUCAACUCUGGUAUCUUUAACAGCAAUCAUUCUCCAAGGGCAGCCUUCAACACAUUUUGCGUCAAUUCUGGUAGCAUUGUUCCUUGUCUUCUUUAUUUUUACUCUGUUCUUCACUAUGUACAUGGACAAAGCAUUUCUUAAUUCUGUAGGGUUUGAAAAGACCAUGCCAAGUUUAAAUGUUGGGUCUUCCAUGUCUGUCAAUUUGUUGAAAGCUGGAAAAUCAAAUUUUGUCCUGUCUUCACUCUAUCUGGGAGCUCUAAUUUCUCUGUAUCAACAACAUCUGGAUCAUCACCAUUUGCAUCUUCUUUCACAACUUUCCUAGUUGCAGCUAUUAUGUCAUCUACGACAGAAGUGUCAACAUUUUCAUCAAACAAGGUGUCAUCUCCAGCUUCAAAAUCAUAGUCAGAAUUUGCAAAAUCUGGAUCAAUACUUGAGUCUGAUGCAUAGCCACACUCUUCUUCUGCACUCUCAUCACCAUAAUCUUCUUCUUGCAUAGCAGCAAAAUCUUCUUCUUGCAUAGCAGCAAAAUCUUCUUCUUCCAUAGCAGGAAAAUCUUCUUCUUCCAUAGCAGCAAAAUCUUCUUUUUGCACACCAGCUAAUUCUUCUCCUCUAACAGCAGCAAAUUCUUCUUCUUGCUGUACAACCUGAGGAAACAUAUUCUCCUUCCCUUUCUUUUCCAUGUAAAAUUAUUCUUUCACAAAAUUAGCACUCAAGUUCCUCCUAGCAGGUAUGGAUCUGUUGUUGUUGCACAAAUCUUGAUAUCCACCUGACAUCAUAUUGAACAUUUGCUCACUGAAUGUAGGCAUCAAUUUGCUAGCUGGUAUGUCCUCUGACUCAAUAUCUUUCUUGCAAGGACUUAUCACUCUAGGUAGCUCAACUGGUUGCAGAAGAACAUCAUCCCAAAGUUGUUUGUCCAGAACAUUAUCAUGAUCAACAUAAACAUGCAAAUUGUGGCCACCUCUCGCACAAGCUGAAUCUGCCAUAGAUUUUGCAUGCAUUUCUAAGUUCAUCUCCCUCAAACCAUCUACUACUGUUUUGCCUGGAUCCAACCAGUACACUGGAAAUCCCAUGGAUGGCAAAGCAUAUCCUAGUUGCUUGAUCAUCCAAUCCACCAGAGCACAGCAGAAUGUACCCUUGUCACAGCCAUCAAAAACAUCUACUCAUUCCUGCAUGUAAACACGGUUCGAUCCAACAACACAGAACCAUCCAUUGUGAUGUAUUACUAAGCUAAAUAAGUCACUACAAUCCCCUGCAUUGCAAAAAAAGUACAAAUUCAUCUGUUUACUGACAAAAAAUCCCCAAUUUUGAACCUAAAAUCAUCCACUUAUCUAACAAAAAAUCCCCAAUUUUGAACCUAAAAUCACCCACUUAUCUCAAGAACCUAAAAAAAGCACAAACGAAGGGGAAGAGAAUCAGUGAGAAGAACUUACCAUACUCGGGUGCAUCAUCCCAGGGAAAUCGCCGUCGAGGAAGAAGCUCAGCACCAGCGCGACCACCGGCAUCAGCCACACCGAGAACGGCUUCACCACAAUCACCGCCGCCGCCAGUACCCGCAGAUUCAUCGCCGUCAUCAGCCGCGGCGGCUACUGUAGGGGGCGCGGCUACCUCGCCAUCCUCUCCGCCGCCGCAACCUACGGAGGCAGCCAACGGGGUUGACAUUGCCGCCGACGGGCACCCAGCCGCCGUCAAGGUCGCCUGGUCGGGGUUUGGGGGUGGAGUGCGCUGGCGGGGGUCAGUACUGCAUAUGUUUUUCUUUCUAGGGGUUUUCUUGCAAAUGUACACCGCUGACUCACAACGCCACGUGGGCUGUGCCAAUGACUCAAAAGAAGAGAGUGACCCGUUUGCUCAUAUAGCAAACCAAACUGACCCGUUUUCCACGUUUUGAGACUUCUGUGACCAAUGUGCUCAUCUCGCGGGAGUUCAGUGACGAAUGGUGCGUUUAUCUCUUCACUUUCUUAGUUGUAACCAAAGACAUUGUGGUUCUUUUUAAUAGAAAUACGAGAGGGAGCUCUCUUUAAAAAAAAGAGUGUAAAGUUGUGGUAGAUUGAAAAAGAAGACAAGGAACAUUGAAGGUCACAAAGUUACAUAAAUGUGCUCUCAAGCUGUGUCAAUCGUUUCGCGGUUUUGUUCUGAGCAUCCUAUAGUGAAAUCGUACAAAAACAUAGUUGUACAAAAAUGACUAAUCUCAAAUAUAAGGCAAAAGCCUCUAUUUAGAAGUUUUUUAUGCUUUUAAAUCAAAGUGAAAAAUUUGGAGCUUAAGCUCAAACAAACAGGGCCUAAAUAGCCGUGUGAGUGAUCCACCAUAAGAUGUGAGAAUAUUAGACCAUUUAAAGCACUUUGGUCGGGGACACAUCCACUUAAAGCAGAUAAUCGAGUGGUUGCUUCAUUGUCGGGAUACCCAGGAAGAAGACUAUAUGAUCACGAUAUGAAAAAUAAUACGUAUGAGAAAUCAAAACACCAUUAGCUCUCUAACGUUGGCUACGAACAUCAUGUGAGAAUAGAGAUGGAGCCAGGUGAACACUUAUUCCACACAAGAGAACCUCCACCGUCAAGACAAUGUCGCUGAGACACAAAGCUAACAUAGAAAGACUUGAUCCACUCUGAAAGCAAAGAUUUGAGUUGUCCCCACUUGCUUAGCACACAGAAUCUUGAAUAAGCAAGAGAAAAUUUUCUCUAGCAAGAUAUAGGUCGAGCAGAGAUCCUAGCCAGACACGGACGAAGCUAGAUCAAUAGUUCUGGUGGCAACUCUACUCGGCCGGGUUCAUUUGUUACAAACGAAUUCAAUUUUUAAUCAAUCUAGUGAAAAAUUUGCCAAAUUCAUUAGGCUCAACUGACCCCACUGCUUAUGAAGGUUGCUCCGUCCAGCAGAGACUAAUCUGAAUCUGUCGAGUAUAGGGACGAACCAAUUGUCCUAUGGUGUCAGCUCUAUUGAGCUGGGUUCAUUUGUUACAAAUGAAUAGUAUUGUUUACAGGUUUAGUGAAGAGAUUGUUCAGUUCAUUGUAUUCAACUAACCUUACUGCAUAUGGCACCUCCGUCACCGUUAGAGAUGAGAAUAACAUCUUGAGUAAAAUUUGUUUCAAACCUUGAAGUUGGGUCAUCUAUUUUGAAACAGAGGGAGUAAAAAUCAGCACCCUACGAAUGGAUGAUAGUUCAAUAACUUUGUCAGACUUCCCCUCAUGCAAGUAACAUCCCAUAAGGCCAUAAUAGUCAAUAGUCAGGCACGGGUCACUAACCAGCGAGAACACGCCAAACUGCACGAUCAAAAGGACAACUGUGGAGCAAGGAGACGAACAGCGGUCGUUGGUGAAGAUAAAUUAGGGUUGAAGAGGGCUAAGGAUGUCACUGACGCGGGCGAGUGAUUCCCGUGGGUACUGCCAUGGCCCAUGGGAGCUAAUUGCAUGCAUCGAAGUAGACUAUCUUAUGGGCCACCCAUUUAGCAAAGCCACUCAACAAGCCCACAAACAAAAUGAGCUAGCAAGCGAACUGCAGGUUAGUUGACGCAGAAGCUACAACAGUGUGUCAAUUUUAGACACAUGAAACAAGCAACAACAAGACGCAAAAGUAAAAAUCCAUAGCAAAGAAAGGGUUAUAAUAGAUGGCAACCACUUGAUUCAAAAGAGGGGAAAGGGUCAUUUUCUAAACAUGCAACACAAUAUCUCUCAAAAUCUAUAAAUCCACAAGAUCUGACUUAACAUCAUAAACGGAGUAGUACAGAACAAGUUGCAAGACGCAGGAUAUCGAUAGCUUGGUAUUGUUCCAUCCUUGAACGAGCAUGGAAUUACAGCCUCCUUCCUCUUCUACCACCCUUCCGGCGGGUGCUGUCAGUGGGGACCGGGGUAACAUCCUCUGCUCAACGCAAAAAAAAACAUCAUGGAUUAAUCCGCUGUAUGAUAUCAUAAACUAAACUGGAAAAUGUAAAAGGUUGAAAUCACGAUAACUGGCAUCCAAGGCAAAACUAAAUCAACAUUGAUCAUAACAUAAACAUAGUAUGAACAGGAAGGACAAGCAAAACAUAAGUACAUAUAAAAACCAAGCCAGCAUGUGACCAGACAAAUUCAAGAACUAUUGACUACCAGACAAAAUUAAGACAAGCCUUGCAAAUGCAAUGAAUGGCAGAAUAGUUUUUUCCCAGAAGCUAAUGAGAUGAAAUGGCACAGACACAGCAUACACAAGGGCAUCACAAGCUUACCAAUGCGUCCAAUCUUCAUGCCAGAACGUGCAAGAGCUCUAAGCGCAGCUUGAGCACCAGGACCUGGAGUUUUUGUCUUGUUUCCACCAGUAGCACGGAGCUUAAUGUGCAGAGCAGUAAUUCCAAGCUCCUAAACAGGGGGGGAGGAUCACCAUAUGUAUCAGUGGAUUCAUCAAAUUUGGCUACCACCAUACUUGAUCAUGCAACAAAUCAACUUUUUUGGUACCUUACAUCUUACAGCAACAUCCUGAGAUGCAAGCAUAGCUGCAUAAGGGGAUGAUUCAUCACGAUCAGCUUUGACCUUCAUGCCACCUGAAAAUGCAAUUCUUUAGUACAUCACAAAUUUGUAAGACGUAAAAAAGAAACUGAUAGAUGUUGAGCAUCACAGAAGAACCGACAGUCAAUCACUGUUUAGUGCCAUGGCAGAUGCAAGUUAUAGCUAAACAGGUAUAAUAGCCAAGAAUAACCAUUCAAGCCUUGGUGAACUGAGUUCACUUCUUCAACCACCAAAUAGGAGACCACACAUAGAAUAUUCUACUACUAAUAUGUUAUAUUCAAAAAGACUUCUGAAAUGUUCUGAAGAUAUUGUACAGCCAAUAUCUAAAAUCUUCAAAUGUAACUCAGAAGUACUAACAAACAAAAGCAUGUUCUUCCAACAUUUAGGCGUCCCCAUUUUAAUUGACAAAGAGUUGCAAGGGUGUAGAAGUCAGCAGAAGCAAGACAGAGAACAUCUGCUUCAUACCGACCAUACAUCACAAGAAACUGAAUGGCAAGAUGAGUACACCUAUAAAUCAAAUUGGAAGUUGAGUUCCAGAGAAAAACUCUCUAGAGCCUCAUAUGAAUCUUGCACAGCAAUGACUCGACACGCUCCCACAGAACAAAAGGGAGGCAAUCUUAAGGGCGGUGCUUACAAAAGGUUGAUAGGAUCAAAAAUGAAACUCAAUAGGGAAGACAGCAUCAUGAUCAGAAGAGGAGGUUCAUAAGAAGUAAGCAAGACAAAUAUUGCUCAACAAUCUCGCUCAAGUUUAACCUAGGAUAACCUCACAUAUGAACCAACAAUUUUCACAUAAAUAGAAAACGCCCAGAUCCCAAACUGGAUAGUCAAAUAGUGAACGGAUAAGGAGAUUUGGCUCACAUACCCUAUUGAGUUUCUGCAUGAAUCAAUUCCAUUAAAUAAAAAGGUGGGCAUUACGUCAUACUGACAAACAAAAUACCAAUACUACCUACCAAACAAGAAUGUUGGUUCAGUGAAAUGUUUUUUCAAAGAACCAACCAUCGUGCUGAUUUUUUACAUACAACUACAGGAGUGCCAAUAUGCACUUGGUUCGGUGAAAUAUAGUCACAUCAAGCAUGUUCACUUCCAGAAUUUAGGCAGCUCCAUCUAAUGUUGCAAAGAGUUGCAGGAGUGAAGAACACAGCAUGAGCAGUGCAUAAAGCAGCUGCUGCCUGCUGGCUACAUACACUACAAGAAACCCAAUGAAAUGAUGUAAACAGCUAGAACUAAAACAGGAAGAGAAGAAGUUCCAGAGAAAAACUCGCCGGAUCCUCGUUUUCAAUCUUGCAUGGCUAUGACUCGACACGCUCCCACGGAUAAAAAGGGAGGGGAUCUUAAGGGCCGUGCUUACAAAGCAAUCUAAAAACCUCCAAGGUGAUACCAAAUCAUGAAACUUGACUAUAUGCUGUUCCAAACGAACAUAUCUCUAUCAGUACGAGACGAUGCUUAUUAGAAACAAACCACCAUCAUUUAUACAUCAGCCACCACGCCUUGCUCGUAAAGGGGAGUAUAAGAAGAGAUGUGAUUACCGGUGAUGCGGACGAGCGUCUCCCUCCCGGACAGAUCCGUGACAUGCUGCGACAGCGAAGCCAGAUGUGGCAAGAGUUUCAGGUCCGCGGUGUAAACAGAAAAGCAGCAAGAAAGGCGGCGUGUCCUUGGGAUCUUACGAUGAAGGUGUCGUUGAAGGAGGCGAAGAUGUGCGCGACGCCGAAGACGUGCUCCCCCUCGCGGACGGCGGGGCCGAGCGUCACGUUCUCCUCCUUGGGCUCGCGGGUCUUCUUCCUCCCUGACUGCACGAACAGACACAGCACCGGACGAUGCCCAGAUGGAUAAGCACAAGAACCAAGUCUACAGCGAGUUGACGGGGAAGGAACGAGCGACAAGGCGUUACCAUGGCGGCGGCGGCGGCGGCGAGAGGAGGAGGAGGCUAGGGUUUGGAGUGGACGAGAAGAUGAGCUGCGGUGGGGAAGUGCAGGAGUGGGCAAAGAUAAAGCCUCCCGAGAGUGGGCCGUGCCCGGGUUUGGAUGCGUGGGUCGCCUGGUUAUACGGGCUGCAUUUUGCGCUGAGCUCUCUAGACCAUACUGGGCUUGCAUGACUCAGUAUUGGGCUAAGGGUGCGUUUUUGUGUGUACCGCAACCCGGGUGUCCACUCAUCAUGUGACCAGACGUUUCUUUUUUUAGGGUUAAAGCACAGCUUUAUUACGGUAACGAGUUAGGCAAGUCGCCUAAAACAAACCAACAUAUAGCUUUAUUAAGGCGAUGAGGGUUUACCUACUCCGCCGGCCCAGGCCGACGUUUCCUUACCGGUGCCCUCCCCGGACGGUUUCUCAAGGCGCAGUCCCUAGGGUUUCCUAGCCCCGGUAUUUGCUGCGACAGAACUCAGGGGCAGAUUGCAUCGGUUCUUUGGCCCUGUUCAUCAUGGGAGAUGCCAUGGAGGCCCCAAGUGGUGGCAGAAACUCAUCUCGAUGGGGAAGGAGCAGAGGAUGUGGAGGUACGACAGGCCGGGGCCUUGUCCCGGGUCAUGAGCGUGGCGAUGGGGAAGGGAUUGGACAGAAGGGACGUGAUGUUGAUUCUGGAGGAGGAAUAGCUGGUGGUUCGGUGCCACCAUCCCCUCCUGGAUAUUUGUCACGGUGGGAGAGUAAGGAAACCAAGCACGGAGCCUCGUCGUCCAAGUCAAAGGCUGCUGAUAUGGAGAUCGAGAAGAAUUUGGCGGGCUCCGAGCUGGAGCGCCACCGGUCAUCAUGAAUAUCAUAAGUGGAACUAUUGCGGGAUUGGCAACGAUUCAACAGUUCGAGAGCUACGCACGCUAGUGCAACGAUUUGCCCCCUUCGUGCUCUGUGUGCAAGAAACUCGAGUUGGAGGGACUCAUGCUAGGAAUCUAGCCUUUUCUUUUAGCUUUAGUAGAAGCUAUACAGUGGAUAGUAAUGGUAGAAGUGGAGGUCUUGCUAUUUACAGGGAUGAUGAUUUGUCCCUUGAGUUCGUCACUGAACUCUCACGAGAUGAGCACAUUGGUCACUCAAGUCUCAAAAUGUGGAGAAUUGGUCAGUUUGGUUUGCUUUAUGAGCGAAUGUGUCACUUCCCUGUUGCGAGCCGUUACGGGGCCGACGUGGCUUGCUGACUCAGCGUAUGGCCCACUGUCAGGAUAAUUGUGAAGGUAUUUUUUGCAAAUUGUGCAUCCCCUCCCUGGUCAAAAUCCCCAAUUCAGCUCUCUCUCGAUCUCACCUUCGCCUCUCUCCAGAUCUGCCACAGCCGUCGCCGUUGUCGUCACCUCGCUCGAGAUGGACCAGUAUGAGGGAGAGAGCUGGCGGCCGGAGAACAGGGAGGGUAGUAUCUUCUUCCCGGCGGAGGGCUGGAGGCGCGGCGAGCCGGAGUUGCGGCCUGAGGUCGGUCGCUGUGUGCUGAGGCGCACGGCUGGGAUGUACCGGCUGGAGGAGAAGCUACGCGGUCGUGCCCUGGUGGGUACAGUGGAAGGGAACCGGCCUCCCGUGUCGCCGGCACAGGUGGUUGCUGCUUUGGAGGCGCAAUGCGGCAUCCGCCGCGACGACGUCAUGGUUGAGGUAUGUUCGCCUCCGGCGGAUUUUCUUGUACGGUUUCGGUCCGGCGACGACUGCACUCGCGUGCUCAUCUACCACUCCCGCAAGCUUACGGUCGGCGGCGAGACAAUCCAGUUUUGCCGGUGGCAUCGUGGGAUGGGUGGCGAGGAGUCGUCUAUGAAGUUUUUGACAAGGUUGAGCUUUGAUGGGCUCCCGCAAGAGGCUUGGGAGGUCGAGUUCGUUACCAACCUUGUUAACAGUCUCGGCGGCGAUCUCGUUAAGAUGUUGAAGCCCACUGAUCGGUGCUUCGUCGUUGUUGAAGCAUGGAUGAAGAACCCAAACAAAUUGCCUAAAUUAUAUGAAGUGGAGCUGCCAGAGCCUGAAUUACGACAAGAUUACCCAACCUCUGACUCUGACGUGCCAAUUUCACCGCCUACUAUAUAGUCGUCUGAAAGAUGAGAAGCCAACAGUUGUUCAUUUUCUGAAGAUCCAUGUUCUGAAAGUUAUAGAUCACAACCCUAUCUUAACAGAGUUGUCGCCUGCUUAUGACUAUGACGAAGAAUCGAACAGCGCUCGGUGUCACAAUUUCACAUGUCAUCCUGGUACAAUAGAUGGUGCAGAGAGGGCAUACAUUGGUGGUGGACAUGGUUUUGCAGGGCCAGGGUCCGAUGGCCGUGGAGGUGCUCCGUUCAGGAUGUAGAUGAGACAGAGAUGUUGCAUCUCUUUUAUUCAGCAAUGUAUAAUGUAUGUUUGUUGUGUGCCAAUGUGAGCAUAUGUCUGUAAGACUAUUGUAAGAGAUCUAUUUAUGAUGUGUGACUGAUGUGAGGAUGUUGCAUGAAAUUCAAUUGUUGUUGCACUACUAGUAUAUGCAAUUUAUUUGACAAGAGAUAUCUCAUUUAACAAAAGUACAGAACAGUACUAAAAGAAAGAGUUCAUUUUAGAACUACACAGAGCAGUACUAAAAUUCCUCAGUACUAAAAGAAAAAAUUCAUCCAAAAGGAUUAGUUGUGCCAAAAGUAACUACACAUGAUAGUACUAAAAGAACAAGUUCAUUUUGGAACUACAUCAAGUUCAUUUUGAAACUACUACAUUACUGAAUUACAGCAUGAUCUCAGUCUUGUGGUGCUGAUUGUGUAUUGUUGAUCUCCUCUUCAUAUGUUGGUCCUGUUCUACCUCUUCUUCCUCCCCUUCUUCCUCUUGUAGGUGCACCUCCUCCUCUCUGUCCAAACAGAAGAUACUGAAAUCCUCCAACACCUGCUGCAUUGUUGCUUGUGCCAGCUGUGUUUGCAUUCCUGUUAAUUGCACUAGCUGCAGCUCUAGCUUCUCUUCUUCUUCCUGACCUGUCCCUUGCUUGAGCUCUCAAAACCUGUGUUGUGACUGUUGAUGUCCUUGGUGGUGGAACGUUAGCUCUAUAUUGUGCAACAAAAGCUGAUUCACUAGGGAAUGGCUUUAUUUCUUCAAUGACAAUUUUUGGCGCCUGCAUUUUAUGAAUGACAUAACUCUGUUUUAUUGGAAGAACAAAAGAGAACAAGUUACAAGUACUUUAUUAUAAGAAUUUGGUCUUCACCUCAUGUGCUAGCUGAGAUAUCAUAGAUUCUUUCACAUUGCUAGGAUCUUUCCUAGGGUCUAGUUGUACAUGCUCAAUGUGCUGAUCAAAACAAUACAAAAUUAGUUAGUAGUGCCUAUACAAACUGGAAUUAUUUGUAAGUAUAGCUGCAUAUUACCUCUAGUAUCUCAGGAAUAUCAGCAUAUCCAUUUUCAUCAAUCAUUGUAGGGACUCUGUUUGGGUUUGGCAUGGAGGUUGGAAUGCCCACUUGCUCUUCCACAGUUCUUCUUCUCCUUCUCUUUGUUCUUUGUUGUUGUUGCUCCUGUGAGCUGUCCUCUGUUUGGGUUUGUGGUGCUUGUGCUGCUCCUGUUGCUGCUGCUUGUGUUGUUGCUGCUUCUGCCCUUGCAAUCUCUUUCAAUCUAGGGCAUCCUUUCUUGUUAUGGCCUGCAUUUCCACAAUAUCCACAAUGAAUAGUGACCCCAUGUUUGGUCAACUUUGUACCAUCCUCAUUUUCUUCAGGACCUUUUCUUCUUUUUUUGCUUGAGGGCCUGCCAACAACCUUCUCAUAAAAUGGAGGUUUUACUACUGGGCCAUUAACAUGCUCCCAUUCCGACUUAUCUCUAACUGGCUUCACCACAGGACCAUAAGCUUGCAUGAAAGCAUUCAAAGAAUAGCUACUACAUACCAUCUGUUCAGGCUUAAUCCUCUCAUGCCUACAACAAGCUAUUGCAUGGUUGCAUGGAAUGCCAGUUAGCUGCCAUCUUCUACAAGUGCAAGCUCUCAUGUUUAGCUCUACAAUGUAACUAACACCAUUGCUAAGAACUUUGAAAGUUGACCUUCCAUAUUCAGUAGCAAAGCAGUUUGCUGCAUAAUCUGCAUUUUUCUGAACUUUUUGUCUAAUCUUUGGGCAAAUCUGACCAGUCCACUUCUGUAGAGCAUCCUUUUGCAUUUUGUUAUAUCUUGUCCCUAUCUUGCAAGCAAUGUUCUCCAACAUAGACAGGACAUGUAGCUCUCUAGCUUCUAAUAUCCACCUAAUUAGUAGGCAGGUCCAUAAACAGAAGUAAGCAGUAGACAUUUAAUAAGCAAUAGUAAAGAGAAGAAGGUAAGAUAAUUACUUAUUGAAAACUUCACAAGAAUUGUUUGUAAGUAUGUCACAUUUGACAAAAUCACUGAAGAAAGCUCUGCAAUACUCAGAUGGCUUCUUUUCAUCUAACCAAGCAUGUGCUUCAGGACAAUCUGCCUUGAACCUGUCCAUGUUUUGCUGCCAUCUUGUAGUGUUGCUUGACCUUGCACAUGCCCACAAGUGAUUCUUUACUGUUUCUCCCUUGUGAAGCUGGUUCAGGUUCUGGUAGAGAUGUCUGACACAAAAUCUAUGUUCAGAGUCAGGGAACAAUUCUCUGACUGCUCUAAUCAAACCCUACAUCACAACAAACAACAGCUAUGUUAUGCUAAGACAGAAGAUACAGUAUUGUAAUCACAUACAUAUAAGGAAUUUUUUAAUUUUCACCACACCUUCUGCUUAUCACUCAUUAUAGAGAUAGUUGAUGUGUUAAUGAUGUUUAGGUCAUUUUUCAAAUUAGUAAGAAACCACUUCCAGCUGGCAUGGCACUCCACCUCUACGACAGCCAUUGCAAUUGGGUAGAUGCAGUCAUUGGGAUCUACUCCAAUUGCUGUCAAUAUCUGUCCACCAUAUUUGGUCCUUAUGUGUGUUCCAUCAAGACAAAUAAUGGGCCUACAACCAAGUAGCCAUCCUCUUUUACAAGCAUCCAGACAUAAGUACAAAGUGCUCAAUGUUUCACCCAUCCUUUUCAAGAAGAAAGUAGUGCCUGGGUUUGCUCUCCUUAGCUCAUGUCCAUAGUCCCAAAGCUGUCCAUAUUGGGCCUCUUCAUCUCCUCUUAUCUUUUUCAGACAUGACAACCUAGGUCUUGCCAACUUAAAUCUGUUUGGCUUCAUGUUGUACUAUUUCUGAACUUUGUUCUGAAAAGCUGUCAAACUCAUCUUUGGGUCAUCUCUGAAAUCUUCAACAAUUUUUCCAGCUAGCAAUGGAGCUGUCAACUCUUUCACUUCCCACACCCUCUCACAAGUAUGCUCUCCAACAUAUGUCUUUAUCAGCAUGCACUCAACUCUGGUAUCUUUAACAACAAUCAUUCUCCAAGGGCAGCCUUCAACAUAUUUUGCGUCACUUCUGGUAGCAUUGUUCCUUGUCUUCUUUAUUUUUACUCUGUUCUUCACUAUGUACAUGGACAAAGCAUUUCUUAAUUCUGUAGGGUUUGAAAAGACCAUGCCAAGUUUAAAUGUUGGGUCUUCCAUGUCUGUCAAUUUGUUGAAAGCUGGAAAAUCAAAUUUUGUCCCGUCUUCACUCUCUAGGAGCUCUAAUUUCUCUGUAUCAACAACAUCUGGAUCAUCACCAUUUGCAUCUUCUUUCACAACUUUCCUAGUUGCAGCUAUUAUGUCAUCUACGACAGAAGUGUCAACAUUUUCAUCAAACAAGGUGUCAUCUCCAGCUUCAAAAUCAUAGUCAGAAUCUGCAAAAUCUGGAUCAAUACUUGAGUCUGAUGCAUAGCCACACUCUUCUUCUGCACUCUCAUCACCAUAAUCUUCUUCUUGCAUAGCAGCAAAAUCUUCUUCUUGCAUAGCAGCAAAAUCUUCUUCUUCCAUAGCAGGAAAAUCUUCUUCUUCCAUAGCAGCAAAAUCUUCUUUUUGCACACCAGCUAAUUCUUCUCCUCUAACAGCAGCAAAUUCUUCUUCUUGCUGUACAACCUGAGGAAACAUAUUCUCCUUCCCUUUCUUUUCCAUGUAAAAUUAUUCUUUCACAAAAUUAGCACUCAAGUUCCUCCUAGCAGGUAUGGAUCUGUUAUUGUUGCACAAAUCUUGAUAUCCACCUGACAUCAUAUUGAACAUUUGCUCACUGAAUGUAGGCAUCAAUUUGCUAGCUGGUAUGUCCUCUGACUCAAUAUCUUUCUUGCAAGGACUUAUCACUCUAGGUAGCUCAACUGGUUGCAGAAGAACAUCAUCCCAAAGUUGUUUGUCCAGAACAUUAUCAUGAUCAACAUAAACAUGCAAAUUGUGGCCACCUCUUGCACAAGCUGAAUCUGCCAUAGAUUUUGCAUGCAUUUCUAAGUUCAUCUCCCUCAAACCAUCUACUACUGUUUUGCCCGGAUCCAACCAGUACACUGGAAAUCCCAUGGAUGGCAAAGCAUAUCCUAGUUGCUUGAUCAUCCAAUCCACAAGAGCACAGCAGAAUGUACCCUUGUCACAGCCAUCAAAAACAUCUACUGAUUCCUGCAUGUAAACACGGUUCGAUCCAACAACACAGAACCAUCCAUUGUGAUGUAUUACUAAGCUAAAUAAGUCACUACAAUCCCCUGCAUUGCAAAAAAAGUACAAAUUCAUCUGUUUACUGACAAAAAAUCCCCAAUUUUGAACCUAAAAUCAUCCACUUAUCUAACAAAAAAUCCCCAAUUUUGAACCUAAAAUCGUCCACUUAUCUCAAGAACCUAAAAAAAGCACAAACGAAGGGGAAGAGAAUCAGUGAGAAGAACUUACCAUACUCGGGUGCAUCAUCCCAAGGAAAUCGCCGUCGAGGAAGAAGCUCAGCACCAGCGCGACCACCGGCAUCAGCCACACCGAGAACGGCUUCACCACAAACACCGCCGCCGCCAGUACCCGCAGAUUCAUCGCCGUCAUCAGCCGCGGCGGCUACUGUAGGGGGGGCGGCUACCUCGCCAUCCUCUCCGCCGCCGCAACCUACGGAGGCAGCCAACGGGGUUGACAUUGCCGCCGACGGGCACCCAGCCGCCGUCAAGGUCGCAAGGUCGGGGUUUGGGGGUGGAGUGCGCUGGCGGGGGUCGGUACUGCAUAUGUUUUUUUUUUCUAGGGGUUUUCUUGCAAAUGUACACCGCUGACUCACAACGCCACGUGGGCUGCGCCAAUGACUCAAAAGAAGAGAGUGACCCGUUUGCUCAUAUAGCAAACCAAACUGACCCGUUUUCCACGUUUUGAGACUUGUGUGACCAAUAUGCUCAUCUCGCGAGAGUUCAGUGACGAAUGGCGUUUAUCUCUUCACUUUCUUAGUUGUAACCAAAGACAUUGUGGUUCUUUUUAAUAGAAAUAUGAGAGGGAGCUCUCUUUUUCAAAAAAAAAAGAGUGUAAAGUUGUGGUAGAUUGAAAAAGAAGACAAGGAACAUUGAAGGUCACAAAGUUACAUAAAUGUGCUCUCAAGCUUUGUCAAUCGUUUCGCGGUUUUGUUCUGAGCAUCCUAUAGUGAAAUCGUACAAAAACAUAGUUGUACAAAAAUGACUAAUCUCAAAUAUAAGGCAAAAGCCUCUAUUUAGAAGUUUUUUAUGCUUUUAAAUCAAAGUGAAAAAUUGAAGUUUAAGCUCAAACAAACAGGGCCUAAAUAGCCGUGUGAGUGAUCCACCAUAAGAUGUGAGAAUAUUAGACCAUUUAAAGCACUUUGGUCGGGGACACAUCCACUUAAAGCAGAUAAUCGAGUGGUUGCUUCAUUGUCGGGAUACCCAGGAAGAAGACUAUAUGAUCACGAUAUGAAAAAUAAUACGUAUGAGAAAUCAAAACACCAUUAGCUCUCUAACGUUGGCUACGAACAUCAUGUGAGAAUAGAGAUGGAGCCAGGUGAACACUUAUUCCACACAAGAGAACCUCCACCGUCAAGACAAUGUCGCUGAGACACAAAGCUAACAUAGAAAGACUUGAUCCACUCUGAAAGCAAAGAUUUGAGUUGUCCCCACUUGCUUAGCACACAGAAUCUUGAAUAAGCAAGAGAAAAUUUUCUCUAGCAAGAUAUAGGUCGAGCAGAGAUCCUAGCCAGACACGGACGAAGCUAGAUCAAUAGUUCUGGUGGCAACUCUACUCGGCCGGGUUCAUUUGUUACAAACGAAUUCAAUUUUUAAUCAAUCUAGUGAAAAAUUUGCCAAAUUCAUUAGGCUCAACUGACCCCACUGCUUAUGAAGGUUGCUCCGUCCAGCAGAGACUAAUCUGAAUCUGUCGAGUAUAGGGACGAACCAAUUGUCCUAUGGUGUCAGCUCUAUUGAGCUGGGUUCAUUUGUUACAAAUGAAUAGUAUUGUUUACAGGUUUAGUGAAGAGAUUGUUCAGUUCAUUGUAUUCAACUAACCUUACUGCAUAUGGCACCUCCGUCACCGUUAGAGAUGAGAAUAACAUCUUGAGUAAAAUUUGUUUCAAACCUUGAAGUUGGGUCAUCUAUUUUGAAACAGAGGGAGUAAAAAUCAGCACCCUACGAAUGGAUGAUAGUUCAAUAACUUUGUCAGACUUCCCCUCAUGCAAGUAACAUCCCAUAAGGCCAUAAUAGUCAAUAGUCAGGCACGGGUCACUAACCAGCGAGAACACGCCAAACUGCACGAUCAAAAGGACAACUGUGGAGCAAGGAGACGAACAGCGGUCGUUGGUGAAGAUAAAUUAGGGUUGAAGAGGGCUAAGGAUGUCACUGACGCGGGCGAGUGAUUCCCGUGGGUACUGCCAUGGCCCAUGGGAGCUAAUUGCAUGCAUCGAAGUAGACUAUCUUAUGGGCCACCCAUUUAGCAAAGCCACUCAACAAGCCCACAAACAAAAUGAGCUAGCAAGCGAACUGCAGGUUAGUUGACGCAGAAGCUACAACAGUGUGUCAAUUUUAGACACAUGAAACAAGCAACAACAAGACGCAAAAGUAAAAAUCCAUAGCAAAGAAAGGGUUAUAAUAGAUGGCAACCACUUGAUUCAAAAGAGGGGAAAGGGUCAUUUUCUAAACAUGCAACACAAUAUCUCUCAAAAUCUAUAAAUCCACAAGAUCUGACUUAACAUCAUAAACGGAGUAGUACAGAACAAGUUGCAAGACGCAGGAUAUCGAUAGCUUGGUAUUGUUCCAUCCUUGAACGAGCAUGGAAUUACAGCCUCCUUCCUCUUCUACCACCCUUCCGGCGGGUGCUGUCAGUGGGGACCGGGGUAACAUCCUCUGCUCAACGCAAAAAAAAACAUCAUGGAUUAAUCCGCUGUAUGAUAUCAUAAACUAAACUGGAAAAUGUAAAAGGUUGAAAUCACGAUAACUGGCAUCCAAGGCAAAACUAAAUCAACAUUGAUCAUAACAUAAACAUAGUAUGAACAGGAAGGACAAGCAAAACAUAAGUACAUAUAAAAACCAAGCCAGCAUGUGACCAGACAAAUUCAAGAACUAUUGACUACCAGACAAAAUUAAGACAAGCCUUGCAAAUGCAAUGAAUGGCAGAAUAGUUUUUUCCCAGAAGCUAAUGAGAUGAAAUGGCACAGACACAGCAUACACAAGGGCAUCACAAGCUUACCAAUGCGUCCAAUCUUCAUGCCAGAACGUGCAAGAGCUCUAAGCGCAGCUUGAGCACCAGGACCUGGAGUUUUUGUCUUGUUUCCACCAGUAGCACGGAGCUUAAUGUGCAGAGCAGUAAUUCCAAGCUCCUAAACAGGGGGGGAGGAUCACCAUAUGUAUCAGUGGAU
rnacentral:lncRNA from 1 species